rnacentral:rRNA from 1 species
CGCCUAAUGUAUUAUAUUAGGUAGACUCUGCCCAAUGACAAUUGAAUGGCCGCAGUAUUCUGACUGUGCUAAGGUAGCAUAAUCAUUUGUUUCUUAAAUAGAAACUAGUAUGAAAGAGCUGACACAGAAUUACCUGUCUUAAAUAAAGUUUUUAAUUUACCUUUAAAGUUAAAAGACUUUAAAUUUUAAGGGGACGACAAGACCCUAUAAAACUUUACCCUAUUUAUUUAUUUAAGAUUAAGAAAAUCAAUCUAAACAUAAGGGUUUUACUGGGGCGGUAAGAAUUUAUUUAAACCCAAUCCUCACUCUAACUUAUUUUACGAUUUUUACAAUCUUAAUUUUAAAAUUAAUAACAAGCUACUUUAGGGAUAACAGCAUAAUAUUUUCUAAAAGCUCUUAUUACCGAAGAUGAUUAUGACCUCGAUGUUGAAUUGAAGACCCUUUGUGAGGCAGUUUUCACAAAAAGGAAGUCUGUUCGACUUUUAAAUCUUC